rnacentral:rRNA from 1 species
AUUUAUGGAGAGUUUGAUCCUGGCUCAGGACGAACGCUGGCGGCGUGCUUAACACAUGCAAGUCGGACGGUCUGUAUAUUGAAAGCUUGCUGGAUAUGUACGGAUAGUGGCGGACGGGUGAGUAACG